UAUUUUAUAAUGACCCGGAAAAUGAAGUCGAGUAAUGAAGACGUGUGGUGUGUCUGGUGAAAACAAACGCUGUGCGCCCUAAACACUGAGCUGUUGACUAGUCCGAAGAUUUAACCUCAUCAGUGAGCGAGAGUCAGACGAGUCUGUAUGUUCACCGGAUGAAGAGUUGAUCCGCAGUCGCUGAGUUAAACUCGAGACCAGAUUUUUAUUACUGAGGGACAUCACUGGGAUUUUGACACCAACGGGCUUUACAACGCUUCCCGCUGUCCUGCACACACUUGUACACACAGAGGGGGGAUGACAAGCAGUGAAUCUGAAGACAGAAAAUCUUGAAGGAGAAUGUCUGCCCAUCAGUCCAUGACCCAAAGCUCAUUUGCAGUUGGGUUAUGCAGCAGGACAGUGAUCGGAAGCACACAAGCAAGUCCACCUCUGAAUGGCUCAAAAGAGCUUUUUGUUUAUGUUCUCUGAGGCAAGAACUUAAACAGAUGAAUUAAAACCAUUCUGCAAGGAACAUUGGGUCAGAAUUCCUCCACAGUGAUGUAAAAAACUCAUCACAAGUGAUUGCAAACACUGGUACUGCCAAGGAAAGCACAUCCAGUUAUUAGA